CCUACGGGAGGCAGCAGUGGGGAAUUUUGGACAAUGGGCGAAAGCCUGAUCCAGCCAUGCCGCGUGAGUGAAGAAGGCCUUCGGGUUGUAAAGCUCUUUCAGACGGAAAGAAAUUGCUUCGGUGAAUAUCCGGAGUAGAUGACGGUACCGUAAGAAGAAGCACCGGCUAACUACGUGCCAGCAGCCGCGGUAAUACGUAGGGUGCGAGCGUUAAUCGGAAUUACUGGGCGUAAAGGGUGCGCAGGCGGUUAUAUAAGACAGAUGUGAAAUCCCCGGGCUCAACCUGGGAACUGCGUUUGUGACUGUAUAACUAGAGUACGGUAGAGAGGGGUGGAAUUCCUGGUGUAGCAGUGAAAUGCGUAGAUAUCAGGAGGAACAUCGAUGGCGAAGGCAGCCCCUUGGACCUGUACUGACGCUCAUGCACGAAAGCGUGGGGAGCAAACAGGAUUAGAUACCCUGGUAGUCCACGCCCUAAAACGAUGUCGACUAGUUGUUCGGGAAGGUGACUUCUUGAGUAACGUAGCUAACGCGUGAAGUCGACCGCCUGGGGGAGUACGGUCGCAAGAUUAAAAACUCAAAAUGAUAGACGCGNGAGAGNGCGAGACGACACGAGGGAGGAGG
rnacentral:rRNA from 1 species